GAAUUUUGGACAAUGGGGGAAACCCUGAUCCAGCCAUGCCGCGUGAGUGAAGAAGGCCUUCGGGUUGUAAAGCUCUUUCAGCCGGAACGAAACGGUCACGGCUAAUACCCGUGACUACUGACGGUACCGGAAGAAGAAGCACCGGCUAACUACGUGCCAGCAGCCGCGGUAAUACGUAGGGUGCAAGCGUUAAUCGGAAUUACUGGGCGUAAAGCGUGCGCAGGCGGUUUUGUAAGUCAGAUGUGAAAGCCCCGGGCUUAACCUGGGAACUGCGUUUGAAACUACAAGGCUAGAGUGUGGCAGAGGGGGGUGGAAUUCCACGUGUAGCAGUGAAAUGCGUAGAGAUGUGGAGGAACACCGAUGGCGAAGGCAGCCCCCUGGGUUAACACUGACGCUCAGGCACGAAAGCGUGGGGAGCAAACAG
rnacentral:rRNA from 1 species